GCUCAAAUUUGAAAUCUUAAAGGGUUUCCCUUUACGAAUUGUAGUUUAAAGAAGUGUUUUCUGUUGAGGUUUUGGUAAAAGUUCUUUGGAAUAGGACAUCAUAGAGGGUGAGAAUCCCGUAUUUGACCUUUACUUUCAACUUCGUGACACACUUUCAAAGAGUCGGAUUGUUUGGGAAUGCAGUCCAAAAUGGGUGGUAAAUUUCAUCUAAAGCUAAAUAUUGGCGAGAGACCGAUAGCGAACAAGUACCGUGAGGGAAAGAUGAAAAGAACUUUGAAAAGAGAGUUAAACAGUACGUGAAAUUGUCAAAAGGGAAGCGUUUGACACCAGUGUUGUUUUUCUGAAAAUCAAUUAAAGAACUGUUUAUGCUAAGCUGUUUAGACUUUAUCAGCUAACUGUUUAGUUUUGAGCUUUUCUUUAAUGCACUUUUCAUUUAACAAG
rnacentral:rRNA from 1 species